rnacentral:lncRNA from 1 species
UUUUGAUCCCUUCCUUUUGUGGAGCCACAAUCAUCAAUGAGUGAUUCAAGCAUAAGGAAAAUGUAUAAUGCACCUUAAAUGGCUGUUUAAAUGUUUUUUUUUUACAUUAACAAAGCACCUAUCCAAUCUUUGAUAUAUUUUACUUGCUCAUUUACCACCAUUGUACUAUGUCAAAUGAUUUCCAAUGUGAUUAAGCUCAAUCAAUCCUAGGGUGGGUAAGUAAUUAUUAAAUUCCUCUAUUAGACUAGGUGCUACAAACUCC